GAUGAACGCUGGCGGCGUGCCUAAUACAUGCAAGUCGAGCGAACAGAUGAGGAGCUUGCUCCUCUGACGUUAGCGGCGGACGGGUGAGUAACACGUGGAUAACCUACCUAUAAGACUGGGAUAACUUCGGGAAACCGGAGCUAAUACCGGAUAAUAUAUUGAACCGCAUGGUUCAAUAGUGAAAGACGGUUUUGCUGUCACUUAUAGAUGGAUCCGCGCCGCAUUAGCUAGUUGGUAAGGUAACGGCUUACCAAGGCAACGAUGCGUAGCCGACCUGAGAGGGGGAUCGCCCACACGGGAACUGAGACACGGUCCAGACUCCUACGGGAGGCAGCAGUAGGGAAUCUUCCGCAAAGGGCGAAAGCCUGACGGAGCAACGCCGCGUGAGUGAUGAAGGUCUUCGGAUCGUAAAACUCUUUUAUUAGGGAAGAACAAAUGUGUAAGUAACUAUGCACGUCUUGACGGUACCUAAUCAGAAAGCCACGGCUAACUACGUG
rnacentral:rRNA from 1 species